rnacentral:rRNA from 2 species
CCAAUAGCGUAUAUUAAAGUUGUUGCAGUUAAAAAGCUCGUAGUUGAAUUUCGGGAUUGACACAUCGGUCGUGCCUUAAGGGGUAUGAACUGGUGUAGUCAGUUUCUCACCUUCUGGAGAACCGCGAUGUCCUUAAUUGGGUGCCGCGGGGAACCAGGACCUUUACUUUGAAAAAAUUAGAGUGUUUAAAGCAGGCAUUU